UACGGGGGGGGCAAGCGUUGUUCGGAAUUACUGGGCGUAAAGGGCUCGUAGGCGGCCAACUAAGUCGGAUGUGAAAUCCCCAGGCUCAACUUGGGAACUGCAUCCGAUACUGGAUGGCUUGAAUUCGGGAGAGGGAUGCAGAAUUCCAGGUGUAGCGGUGAAAUGCGUAGAUAUCUGGAGGAAUACCGGUGGCGAAGGCGGCAUCCUGGACCGACAUUGACGCUGAGGGAGCGAAAAGCUAGGGGAGCAAACGGGG
rnacentral:rRNA from 1 species